rnacentral:rRNA from 1 species
UACGGAGGGUGCAAGCGUUAAUCGGAAUUACUGGGCGUAAAGCGUGCGUAGGCGGUUUGUUUAGUCAGAUGUGAAAGCCCCGGGCUCAACCUGGGAACUGCAUUUGAUACUGGCAGACUAGAGUAUGGUAGAGGGGGGUAGAAUUCCUGGUGUAGCGGUGAAAUGCGUAGAUAUCGGGAAGAACACCAGUGGCGAAGGCGGCGGCCUGGACAGAACCUGACGCUGAGGCACGAAAGCUGGGGGAGCGAACAGG